rnacentral:rRNA from 1 species
CAGCCGCCGCGGGAAUACGGAGGGUGCAAGCGUUAAUCGGAAUUACUGGGCGUAAAGCGCACGCAGGCGGUUUGUUAAGUCAGAUGUGAAAUCCCCGAGCUUAACUUGGGAACUGCAUUUGAAACUGGCAAGCUAGAGUCUUGUGGAGGGGGGUAGAAUUACAGGUGUAGCGGUGAAAUGCGUAGAGAUCUGGAGGAAUACCGGUGGCGAAGGCGGCCCCCUGGACAAAGACUGACGCUCAGGUGCGAAAGCGUGGGGAGCAAACAGGAUUAGAUACCCCUGUAGUCCCUGUCUCUUAUAC